rnacentral:lncRNA from 1 species
AGUCUGUCUUUCAUGAAUUUUGCAUACUUAGGCAUUUGCUCCAAUGCUUCGACAAACAGAAUGUUCACUUUCAAUUGUUUGAAAAUAUCCAUGAAUUGGGCGUAAUGCCGUUCAUUCUCCCUCUUAGAUGGAGCAUGUGAGUACGGAAGGUUUUGGAUUGGAGUAGCGCUCACUACCUCCUUUCCUUUAGCAACUCUAGAACUUCUCCAUCUAGGCUUUUUC